GGGCCCGCACAAGCGGUGGAGUAUGUGGUUUAAUUCGAUGCAACGCGAAGAACCUUACCAGGGUUUGACAUCCUGCGAAUCUCUUGGAAACGAGAGAGUGCCUUCGGGAACGCAGUGACAGGUGGUGCAUGGCUGUCGUCAGCUCGUGUCGUGAGAUGUUGGGUUAAGUCCCGCAACGAGCGCAACCCACGUCGUUAGUUGCCAGCAUUUAGUUGGGCACUCUAGCGAGACCGCCGGUGAUAAACCGGAGGAAGGUGUGGAUGACGUCAAGUCAUCAUGCCCCUUACAUCCUGGGCUACACACGUACUACAAUGCUACGGACAAAGGGCAGCAAGUUCGCGAGGACAAGCAAAUCCCAUAAACCGUGGCUCAGUUCAGAUCGUAGGCUGCAACUCGCCUACGUG
rnacentral:rRNA from 1 species